GACGAACGCUGGCGGCGUGCUUAGCACAUGCAAGUCGAACGGAAAGGCUCCAGCUUGCUGGCGUACUCGAGUGGCGAACGGGUGAGUAACACGUGGGUAAUCUGCCCUGCACUCUGGGAUAAGCCUGGGAAACUGGGUCUAAUACUGGAUAUGACCUUUCUCCUUAUGGGGUUUGGUGGAAAGUUUUUCGGUGUAGGAUGAGCCCGCGGCCUAUCAGCUUGUUGGUGGGGUGAUGGCCUACCAAGGCGACGACGGGUAGCCGGCCUGAGAGGGUGAUCGGCCACAUUGGGACUGAGAUACGGCCCAGACUCCUACGGGAGGCAGCAGUGGGGAAUAUUGCACAAUGGGCGGAAGCCUGAUGCAGCGACGCCGCGUGAGGGAUGACGGCCUUCGGGUUGUAAACCUCUUUCAGCAGGGACGAAGCGUAAGUGACGGUACCUGCAGAAGAAGCACCGGCUAACUAUGUG
rnacentral:rRNA from 1 species